GGGGCACCGUCAAGGGACAGGACCCUCCCCCGCUCUGCCCGGCCUGAGGGAGGGGCUGACUCCCCCCCUCACACUCACACCCUGGGGGAACCAGGGUGCCCCCGCCCGCUUGCAUCGCUCCGCCUAGGCCCCCUUGGUCCCAUCCAAGGAGCCCCAGGGAGGGGACGGGCCUGCUCCACCUUCCUCACCAGCUCCAAACCGGGACCAUUUAGCGGACCAAGCCUGGUAGAAAGGGGCAAGGUGGUUCCUGAAGGUGGUGACAGAGUCUGGACUGGCUCCACUGUAACUCCCAACACUUGAGUCAAACAUUCUGCAUCUGGAAGAGGAGAAUGAUGGGAGUCUCCUGAAGAACCAAAGUCUUUUUCUUGAUUUACCAGGUUGGUGCUAUGCCCCAGCCUUCAGUCUCCUGGGAGUAAUCCCUUUACUGUGCCAGAUCACCAGGGUCCAUCCAUACAGCCUCAAUGACUCUGUGAUUCGGCUUUUGGGCUCCAGCACCCCCAGAGAGCUCCUACAGCAAAUCCACCUUCUGAGGGAGCAGUGCAACUGAGUAAGUAUUGCAGUGACAGAGAGCAGCCUUUUUGAAGCGAAGUAGCAUUGAUUAAUCAGUUGGAAUACAGCAUCCGAGAGUCAUCAGAUUAGCAUUAGGUUAGGGAAAAGCCAGGUUUAAGACAGCAUCCACAUUGGCUGAAGCAAUGGCUAUGCCAAGCCAUGAUUCUCUGAGGUCCAUCUUCACUCCC